GCAUAGAUCAAAACCAUUCGAUAUAGAUUAGACCCAUUCUCUAGAUCUCAACAGGUUGUUCCUCCUUCUUCCUAUUUAGUUACUUGGUUUCAAUUGUCUCUUUUUUACAUAUGCUU
rnacentral:sRNA from 1 species